CACAAACGUUGGUCAAUGGACUUCCGCUUGGUCCAAAUGCAAUAAAGGUGUAUGUGGAUGAGGUAGUAAACCCUGAUGCCUACAUAUGGAGGCCUACUGUGGGGAAGACAGCUAUGGAGGAUUAUCACAACAGUUUUGUUGCAUGGCCAGCAAAUAGAGUUGUGUUUGACUCAGAAACACCUAAUUCUAAAGCAGGAAGCUCGAGAGCAGGAAGUUCUAUUGCCGGAAGUUCAAAAGCAGGGAGUUCAACUUGUAAGAAUCAAAAGUCUCCACUAAGUACAACAGCUACUGCCAAACCUGCAACGACUGUCAUUGAUCAUCAGUCUACGAAUGAGGAUUCUCCUUCAACUCCACCAGCUCCUAUAAAGAAACCUGUAGCGCCUAUGAAACAUAAGUCACCUCUAAUUCCACCAUCUCCUCUUCGCAGAUCAGAGGUAGUUUCUGUCCUUGCAUUGCUUGAUUGAAUCUGGUUGUGAUCUUUGAAUAUUGGUUCUGCUUUUGUGGUUUGUGGUUGCAGCGUAACAAAUUCAAGCCUAAUCAGAAAAUCAAGCUGCUGGACCUAUCUGGAAAUAACGUGGUGGUCGCUGAAGGACGUUGGUCAUCGAGUAAUCCUGAACAUCUUGUCCACUUUCAACCUUUGGGCCCUGGUGCAUGUCGAGUCUUUGUGGAUGUUGUGAAGAUUAAAGAUGCUGCUGUGUGGAGGACAUCAUCAGAGAUCGAAUAUAUGGAAGAUGCACUUGGAAGCUGUCUUGCUUGGCCAGAGGAUAAAGUUCUAUUGGUUUAAAAACAGAGCCAAAGGAACCAAGCAACAAGACUCUUUGUGUUUUUAAUGACUGUUUUUCAGUGACUCUGUUUUUUAAUGACUCUGUUUUUCUAAGACAUCAUCGGCUUUUGGUUUCUGUCUUUCAAAACGUGACCAAGUGUUAUUUGCCUUUUAUCUUGUGCUUUUAGAAUCUUAACUAAUUAAGGUUUAUGAUGCAAUGUGUUUGUCUUAAUUCACAACAAGGCCCAAAAUUAUAAUGUUGAAAUAUAUAACAAAGCAAAAGAUAA